rnacentral:rRNA from 1 species
CGUAGGGUGCGAGCGUUAAUCGGAAUUACUGGGCGUAAAGCGUGCGCAGGCGGUUGUGCAAGACAGAUGUGAAAUCCCCCGGGCUUAACCUGGGAACUGCAUUUGUGACUGCACGGCUGGAGUGCGGCAGAGGGGGAGUGGAAUUCCGCGUGUAGCAGUGAAAUGCGUAGAUAUGCGGAGGAACACCGAUGGCGAAGGCAGCUCCUGGGCCUGCACUGACGCUCAUGCACGAAGCGUGGGAGCAAACAGGAUU